rnacentral:lncRNA from 7 species
CCCGCGGGGAAGAAACUUCCACAUCCUCAUUCCCUAAUGGAAGAAUUCCCCAUGGGGAAUCGAGGAUCGGGUCCCCAUUUCCAUCUCUAGCCCUAAGGCUGACCCCUCAUUUUAUAGAACAAGGAGGGUGCAUGUUACAAUGGAUUCUCCCGGAAGAGAGCAUUAAUAAAAGGAGUAACUAAUUUAUGAUUAUCGAAUGACAUUUAUACGGUUGAAAGGAAUCCGAAAGAAGCUUUGGUUUUGCUUGUCCAGACGAAGCACGACCGAAGCAGAAGGCCUAGAGCCGAAAGGGGAACCUGCCAACGCAUGCACCACCGCUUCAUGAAGAAAUGACGAUGCUAGCUGUGUGUAUAGGGUUUAAGGGUAUGGUUGUAAUUUCAUACAAAAUUGUACGGGGUCGUUCCUAUAAAUAGGUGAACAAUGCUCAUGCACAGGACGUGUUGGCCCAAAUACUCGCGUUUCAUCGAACUGCUCCACAUUCAAACCUGUAUUUUUUCUUACCUUCAAACUGUUACCUAAUUUGUCAAAGGUAUAAUUGUAUUCAUUUGUAACAAGGGAAGAGUAAUAAAAGGAAUAUGACAAUAAUGUUUUU